UACGAAGGGGGCUAGCGUUGUUCGGAAUUACUGGGCGUAAAGCGCGCGCAGGCGGUCUUCCAAGUCAGUGGUGAAAGCCCGGAGCUCAACUCCGGAACUGCCAUUGAAACUGUGAGACUUGAGUACGAGAGAGGUGAGUGGAAUUCCCAGUGUAGAGGGUGAAAAUUCGUAGAUAUUGGGAGGAACACCCGAGUGGCGAAGGCGGCUCACUGGCCCGAUACUGACGCU
rnacentral:rRNA from 1 species